rnacentral:rRNA from 1 species
GACAGAGGGUGCAACGUUGCUCGGAAUCACUGGGCGUAAAGGGCGUGUAGGCGGGAAGGAAAGUCAGAUGUGAAAUCCCCAGGCUCAACCUGGGAACUGCAUUUGAAACUCCCUUUCUUGAGUACCGGAGAGGAAAGUGGAAUUCCUGGUGUAGAGGUGAAAUUCGUAGAUAUCAGGAGGAACACCAGUGGCGAAGGCGGCUUUCGUGGACGGUAAC